GUGGGGAAUAUUGGGCAAUGGGCGCAAGCCUGACCCAGCAACGCCGCGUGAGGGAAGAAGGCUUUCGGGUUGUAAACCUCUGUCCUUGGUGACGAAACAAAUGACGGUAGCCAAGGAGGAAGCCCCGGCUAACUACGUGCCAGCAGCCGCGGUAAUACGUAGGGGGCGAGCGUUGUCCGGAAUUACUGGGCGUAAAGGGUGCGUAGGUGGCCUUUUAAGUUGGAUGUGAAAUACCCGGGCUUAACUUGGGGGGUGCAUCCAAAACUGGGAGGCUAGAGUGCAGGAGAGGAAAGCGGAAUUCCCGGUGUAGCGGUGAAAUGCGUAGAGAUCGGGAGGAACACCAGUGGCGAAGGCGGCUUACUGGACUGUAACUGACGCUGAGGCGCGAAAGUGUGGGGAGCAAACAGGAUUAGAAACCCCUGUAGUCC
rnacentral:rRNA from 1 species